GUGUGUGCAAAUGUCCCUUGAAUGUGAAUAUAAGUCUAAAUUUAAACAGUGUUAUGUUAUAUAGAGUGAUCGUGUCUCUUUAGGGCGCUUGGAGGAAACCACGCUAUUCAUAUGGAUUACUUUGGCGAUGUUUUUUUGCGAUGAACGUUUUGAAACGUGAACUUCUUUGAUGAAUCUUUUCAUCGGAGGGACAUAAAUCUCUCAGAUUUCAUUCAAAUAUCUCCGCUUUUCUUUCGAAGAUGAACGAAAGUCUUAGAUGGUUUGGAGCAUCUUAAGGCUUCUGCAAGCGUGUAUGACGUCUGGCUGUUGGAACCUCACUGUAACUUCAGAUAAGAACAAAGAUUAAAUUGUAAGAAGGGUUGCUUAUAAAAGCAUACAGUACAUCUGAAACUGCUGAGGCUGGGAAGGUUUUUGACUAUAUUUCCGACCAGAUCAGCUGCUAUAGAAGACAAAAUUAAAUCUGAGUGCAGAGACAUGCAAAGGAAUACUGCAAGACACUACUGACUAGGCUGUGCCCAGGUCUCCGGAACCUGCGACGACGCUCAGCUCCGUUGGCCCUUAGUCUGCGGUUUCGGAUCCACCAGCUCUGUCUCCAUCGGUCGGCCCCCAGAUGUCGGCAGCCACACCAUCUACAUCUUGGCUCCUCCCUCCCUCGACUCCGCCGUGUGUUGUCAGCUCUGGGAUGCUCUGGGUCUGUGCCAUGUGCCAAACACCAUCUAAGCCGCCAGGGCAUCAUCGUCAUCCUCUCAUCACCAUCCCUACACCAUCUCCUCGUCCACCUCCAAAACCCCUCCAUCCCUCCCUAUUCUGUUGCUUGAACUUUAUCAUCUUCAGUCUUUGCACACACAUCUAUUCACUUUACAUGUUUUUUUUUCUUCAGAAAAUUGCAUUGUAAUUUUUAUUUAUUCAUUGAUGUAAAAUUCUUAACUUUUC